CUGACCUGGUCACAGGGGUCUGGGAAAGACAGAGGCUUUGUUAGAGCCGGCAGCUGAGGGCCGAGGCCGAGCAGGGGUUAGGCCAGCACAGGACGAAAAGGAAGAAAGUUCCAGGUGGAGUCUGGUGGAGAAAGACCGACCUGGAAGGCACCAGCAUGUGCACGUGGCAACUGAGGUCGAGGACGUGCCUGAGAGAGAGGAGGAAGGUGCCCUGCGGACCGGGUAGGGUGCGGAGGUCGGGAAUGGAGAACGGUCGUUGGGCAGGUCCGGGUACCCGUAGCCAGAACCACCCGGGUGUGCGCAGCUCGGCCAGGCCCCGCCUCCCGGCGUCCCCGCCCCCUGCUGGGCCUCUCUCCGCAGCCGCGAGACCCGCGCUUGGCGCAUAGGCCGGUUCUAAUUUACAAGAACACCGCGGCCUGAGGCCGGAGAGUCCCUUCAACCCGGGAGGCGGCGGCUGCAGGGAGCCGAGACGGCGCCAUUGCCCUCCAGCCUGGGCAAAAAGAGCGAAACUCCGUCUCAAAAAAAAAAAAACAUGGCCGAAACCAGGAAGCUGCGCGAUGGCGCCACGGCCCCUCUUCUCCCGGCCUGUGUCCGGAAGGUUUCCCUCCGAGGCGCCCCGGCUCCCGCAAGCGGAGGAGAGGGCGGGACGUGCCGGGGCCGGAGCUCAGAGGCCCUGGGGCCGCUCUGCUCUCCCGCCAUCGCAAGGGCGGCGCUGACCUGAGGCCUCCCCGCAAAGGUCCCCGAGGCGGCGGCGGCGGCGGGCUGUGAGAACCGCAGAAGAACGCUGGGCGCGCAGCGACCCGUCCACCCCCGCGAGGAGAGACUUCCACAGAGGCAGCGUUUCCACAGCCCAAAGCCACGUUUCUAGGGUGAUGCAGCCCCAGUAAGUUCCUGGCGGGGAAGCUCACGGCUGUCAAAAGAACUCUUCGCUCCAGCCGGCGCACGAAGGGGAGGAGGGCAGGAGGCUGCCGCCCGCACAGGUCAUCUGAUCACGUCGCCCGCCCUAGUCUGCUUUUGUGAAUCUCCACUUUGUUCAACCCCCACCCGCCGUCUCUCCCUCCCUGCGCCUUCCCUCUAACCUUAAAGACCCAGCUACCUCUACGCAAAUGGUAGCUACCUCUGCGCAGGUGGAAGUUGAGUUCGGUUCACGCGGGACCCUCUUCCCUGUGGCAAGCUGCUGAAGGAGACCUGCUGUUACUGCUUUAGCUGCUGUUCUGCUUAAUCUCAGACAGCUGGAAGGUUGCUCCGGAUCUCGCCAUCUGGCCUGCGUUCAAUCAGCAGAAGCUUCCUGGAGGAGCAGGAGGAGGCACUGUGCUCGCAUCACAUACCAGUGGCCAGAAGUUGGCUUCAGGGAAGCUCAGGAAAUAGGAUGCGAGAAGCCAUGAGACCUCCCCAAACUCUGCAGUAACAGAGUCAACAAGACAAUGGCUUAAAGAUGGAGAGACCAGUUGAUCGGUCACACAAGCUGUUCCACGAUAAUUCUUGUGUCAGAAGGGGAGGCUGACUACCAGGACCACUGGCCCCACUUCCAGCCCCUCCAUUCUGAGUACACUUCAGAGGGCUCUGGCAGGGUGAGGGGGUCUUGGUGGUGCCACAGAGAGUAAAGGUCUAGCACACCCAUUGUGGAGAUAUUUCAUGGGGACAACCCAGUGACUUCACUUGAAGUAAAGUGGGAUUUUCCAACCUUGAGAUUCUUAUUUUCUUUGGUAUGCGUGUGGAAGAAGUAUGAAGGUGGGGGUUGGGAGGGAGAGCAAAUGAGCUGUGUGUAUGAGGAGCUGGGGCCUGGCUCUUGACAAUAUCACCCACCCCCACCCCAGGCUUUCCUUGGGGCAGAAAGACUAUGGCCGGGGCUUUCAGUGUCGGCUCCGAGGUAUAGAGGUAUAACCAGUGCUUUUGGCUAAGUCACGUCACUGAUGAGCUUCUCUUUCCACCUUGGCAAACCAAUUCUUCUGUAAAAUGGUCUUCAAAGUUUCUUUUUUAAAGCAGAGAAACUUAUUUUUCAGAUAAAAAUUUAGAUAGAACUAUCGGGGGAACCCGAUAGGGGCCAGAUAUCGGGGGAACCCACCCCCAAUAUUUCAACAUAGGUUCUUUCUAUUUUCCAUAAAUGUUGGCCGGCUGAGAAAUAAAGAGUACAAAGAGCGGAAUUUUACAGCUGGGCCACCGGGGGUGACAUCACAUAUUGGUAGGACCGUGAUGCUCACCUGAGCCGUAAAACCAGCAGGUUUUUAUUAAGGAUUUCAAAAGGGGAGGGAGUGUACGAACAGGGAGUAGGAACAAAGAUCAUAUGCUUCAAAGGGCAAAAGGCAGAACAAAGAUCACAUGCUUCUGAGGAAACAGGACAAAGGGCAAAAGGCAGAACAAAGAUCACAUGCCUCUGAGGAAACAGGACAAAGGGCAAAAGGCAGAACAAAGAUCACAUGCCUCUGAGGAAACAGGACAAAGGGCAAAAGGCAGAACAAAGAUCACAUGCUUCUGAGGAAACAGGACAAGGGGCAAAAGGCAGAACUCCUGAUAAGGGUCUAUGUUCAGUGGUGCACGUAGUGUCUUGAUAAACACCUUAACAGAAAACAGGGUCUAAGAGCAGAGAACCGGUCUGACCAAAAAUUUACCAGGAUGGAGUUUCCCAAUCCUAAUAAGGCUGAGGGUACUGCAGGAGACC
rnacentral:lncRNA from 10 species